rnacentral:rRNA from 1 species
CAGUAGCCGCGGUAAUACGAAGGGGGCUAGCGUUGUUCGGAUUUACUGGGCGUAAAGGGCGCGUAGGCGGACUGAUAAGUCAGGGGUGAAAUCCCAAGGCUCAACCUUGGAACUGCCUUUGAUACUGUUUGUCUUGAGUUCGAGAGAGGUAAGUGGAACUGCGAGUGUAGAGGUGAAAUUCGUAGAUAUUCGCAAGAACACCAGUGGCGAAGGUGGCUUACUGGCUCGAAACUGACGCUGAGGCGCGAAAGCGUGGGGAGCAAACAGGAUUAGAUACCCGUGUAGUCCCUGUCUCUUAUAC